CUUCUUUCUCGCCUUAGAUAUAGCUGUGCCACAUAAAUUUCAUAAAAAUAAGCUCUUGGUUAGCCGGGUGUGGUGGCGCGUGCCUGUAAUCCCAGCUCCUUGGGAGGCUGAGGCAGGAGAAUUGCUUGAACCUGGGAGGCAGAGGUUGCAGUGAGCCGAGAUCACACCACUGCACUCCAGCCUGGACGACAGAGUGAGACUCCGUCUCAAAAAACAAACAAACUAACUAACUAACAAAAAAGCUCUCAGGAAAAUGGCCUGAACACAGAUCCCUCCUUUGGAUGGAGAUGCCAAAUUUGGAUCUCCAGGGCACCUCUAAUUUCUGAGGGUGGAGGCAGAGAGGCACACUAUUGGGGUCCCCGGAUAAUUUUGUGGACAUGAAGGCUGAUGUCCACUGGAGACGUCUAGUUGGCUCCUCGCUUACUAAAUUCAGCAGCUGAUGGCCCCUACUCGUUGCUGGACAGCAUAAACAUCAGGUUCUGGUAAAUAAACUCAGGCUAUCAUGCAACUGCCCAACAUGCACUUAAGCUGUGACUGACAGUUUGCUGGGGGCGGACUUAGAGUCUAGGGCCAAAGCUUUUGGGUGCAGAGACUCCAAGGUUCCAAGAUAAACAAAUCUGUCGGUGAGAGUGACCAGAGUGUUAGGUCAGUCCAAGGGUCACUUAUAGGUCAUCCUGCUGGGAGCUUGGUCUCUGCUUUGUGUUUAUGCUGGGGAGAAAAGCAGGAGGGGCCAGAGGGUUGGGUCUCCGCUGGGAAAACAUCCCUGGCCUACUCAUCAGAGCCUCUGGAAGUGGAUUGGUAUCCCCUCUGCUCCCAGGAAUCCAGUAAAAGUUUGCAGAGGAUGCAGCAGGUGAGUCCUGUAGACAUCAGAGGGGCUUCGACGCUGCACAGCUGCCACUCAGAGGGGACACUGCUGGCCUCGAUCACAUCAUGGAGACCACAAGGAUGCUGGGAAUGCACUUCCCAUUGGCCGAGCUGAGGAUAUGAGCAGGCCAUGGGCUGGAUGGCUCACGCGUUCAGAGGAGGGACAGCACUUGUUGCAGAGAAUGAGAUUUAGUGUGAUGUGUAUAAAGGUGUUUCAUGGCUAAAGACCAAACAGAGACUAGUGUCUCCCACUCAGGAAGAAUAAUCACCAUGCUAAUGGAUUAAAAUUCUGUUACAUAGAAUAAUCACAGGUUUAAAUAAGACUCUGCCUGCUUUAUAAUUAUCAGUAUGUGAAAAUACACUGAAUCAAGGCUGGGUGUAGUGGCUCAUGCCUGUAAUCCCAGCACUUUGGGAGGCUGAGGCGGGAGGAUCACUUGAGGGCAGGAGUUCAAGACCAGCCUGGCCAAUCUGGUGAAACCCCGUCUCUACUAAAAAUACAAAAAUUAACUGGGUGUGGUGGGAGGCACCUGUAAUCCCAGCUACUGGGGAGGCUGAGGCAGGAGAAUCGCUUGAGCCUGGGAGGUGGAGGUUGCAGUGAGCCGAGACUGUGCCACUGCACUCCAGCUUGGGUGACAGAGUGAGUCUCUGUCUCAAAAAAAAAGAAAAAAAUAUAUAUAUAUGUACAAAUCAAGAUGACUCUUAGAUAUUUGGCUAGAGCCACUGGGUUGAUGGGUAGAUGGUGAUGUUAGUUCUCAAGGAAAGGACUUGGGACAAAUUUAUUUGUCACAUUUAUUUCCUGUUUCGAUUAUUUCCGAA
ensembl:lincRNA